rfam:Brachypodium distachyon strain Bd21 chromosome 4, whole genome shotgun sequence.
CAGGUACCCUUUGAUCCUUCUUAGUUUAACCAAAUGAACUAAAGUUUUAAAAUGACACAAUUUUUUGAAAAAUUAGUUCAUUCCUUUAAACUAAGAAGGGUCAAAAGGUACAAUG